CCUACGGGUGGCAGCAGUGAGGAAUAUUGGUCAAUGGGCGCGAGCCUGAACCAGCCAAGUCGCGUGAGGGAAGACGGCUCUAUGAGUUGUAAACUGCUUUUGUACAAGGGUAAACCUGAAUACGUGUAUUCAGCUGAAAGUACUGUACGAAUAAGGAUCGGCUAACUCCGUGCCAGCAGCCGCGGGAAUACGGAGGAUCCAAGCGUUAACCGGGUUUAUUGGGUUUAAAGGGUGCGUAGGCGGAUUGAUAAGUUAGAGGUGAAAUGUCCGAGCUUAACUCGGGAACUGCCUCUAAUACUGUUGAACUAGAGAGUAGAUGCGGUAGGCGGAAUGUAUGGUGUAGCGGUGAAAUGCGUAGAGAUAAUACAGAACACCGAUUGCGAAGGCAGCUUACCAAUCUAUAUCUGACGUUGAGGGACGAAAGCGUGGGGAGCAAACAGGAUUAGAUACCCUAGUAGUC
rnacentral:rRNA from 1 species